rfam:Ricinus communis cultivar Hale ctg_1100012307094, whole genome shotgun sequence.
GGGUGCGAUCAUACCAGCACUAAUGCACCGGAUCCCAUCAGAACUUCGAAGUUAAACGUGCUUGGGCGAGAGUAGUACUAAGAUGGGUGACCUCUUGGGAAGUCCUCGUGUUGCACCCC